UCGCUAUGGCAACCAGCGCCGGGGAGAAGCACUGCGGCUCUUCGUGCAGACCGUCCCCAGCUGACGUCACGCCGUGCUAUUUCUGUUUCCUGGUGGGGCAGCCAUGGCUGAGUGCAGAUAAGCACGAGGGAUGGAGCUGUAGCCGCUGAUGCAUCUGCCACCGUCUCUCGUCCCCGUCGGCCCGAGCCACCCCUGCAUCGCCCACGUCUGUCGCCUCCGUCCGAUCCUCCAUCAAUCUCUCCCUCUCUGCACCCCACCCAGCUUCCCUCCCUCCCUCCCUCCCUCCCCCCACGUCCUCCCCCGGCCUCCUCCGCUCCGUUCCAAAGCGAGGACAAAAAGAAGCCCACCAGGGUCUGGUUCUGAAGCCGUUAUUAGACCCGGCGCUGUUUCCAUCCGAACAGACGUCAGCGCAUGCAGCUGUGGUUUCGGCGUCUCCCUGUCACUGCACAAUAGCUGCUAUCAACGUCCUUCACAGAAUCUACAGACCCUCGCUGAGCACAGCAAACGUCCAGAGGCCGUAAUGAAUGAGAUGAAGGGCCGCCUCUGUUUACGCCAUGAUUGAUGGACUUCCAGCGUUCCCCACAGAGCGGUGGGCCACUUGAACCCUGCAACCUGACCUGCAGGCGCAACGCCACAGCAGAGCGUAGAAAGCUUUAUGGGACGUGGGACUCGUCUCCCGUCUAAUCACUUUUACUGCGGCUGCAGUGACCUUGUUGAACAGGACAAGCAAUAAACACAAGACACAUGCGGCGACACACACACACGUACACGUUUGUAUAUGAACUGACAUAUGCACAAAUAUGUAUCUUACGUUGGUGUAAGAAUUCUUCUCGUAACCUCAAUGGCUCAUUAUGUAUAUUAAUCUAACAACAUGCCACGCUGAUCAAUUAAUUUUCAUUGAUAAUAACUGCUUAAUCAUCUGCAUUUAACACAUUUAUCCUGUAUUAUCACUGAUUUCAGGUAUUUGCCCACAUGUCUUAGAUAAAGGCUUCGCUGCUGGGAGCAGCCGGUGCAGGGAAACAAGUGAUCACGUUUUCUUUUGAUGAAAAGGGAUUUGUGUAACUGCUUCGAGCAUAAGGGAAGCGGUCUGCUGUUGUGUGCUACAGUGAUUGGGGUCACACAGUCCUGGCGGCCUCAGAGACUCACUGUACGACGCGCACAGCUCAGCUCACCUUCGUGCGCUCACCUCACAUCUCACGCGUUGCAGUGAAGCGGACGCUGACGCUCCUAAUCUGAGGAGCCGGUCGCCGGCGACUGGCGUUCCUCCACCCGCUGCCUUGUGUAAGCAGCGCACACAGCCGGGCUGCGAAGGCUGCCGCGUCCGCGACAUUGCCGCGAGCGCAUUCUCAAAUUGGCUAGAGACGAGCGGCUGCUUUUGAAGGUGCGUGAGUCAUUGCCAAGGGUAAACAGCCAGUGUGCGACCGGGAAAGGUCACCUGUGAAGCCGGACCUGAAAGCAAGGGCUCUUAACAGUGAGAAAACUGCAAUCGUGAAAGAGUGAGUUGUGUUUUGUCUUCUGUUGCCUCACAAACAGGGCCCAAACCAGGAACAGGGCUAAACAGGCUUAAUCCUAAGCUCUAACAAAUAAGAUGCAGGAUGCUCUGAUUUUUCUCAUACAUAAUACAAAUGCACAGCCGACACUGAUCCAUUCUAAUGAUGCUUACUGUUGGUCCUGAAGCGAUCACAGGGAGCGCUGCUGUUACAUUCUCCUGCCCUUUAUUUGCUGUGUUGAUAAUGAAUGAGUGAGAGACGCGCGCACGACGGGGGCUGUGGAUGCCGAGCGAACGAUCGGUGAAUUUGUUACAGCUAAAUGUAGUUUGUUUUAGUUCUUCACCCCAUGCUGCCAUUAAAUGUGCCUGUGAUUAGUGAGGCACACGCAGCCAACCUAAUUACCCAGCGCCGCAGCCAAAACCCUCCACAUGAUUACCAACAGUUUGUUUCUUACACUGCAAUUAAGUUCUUCACAAUGGCAAAAGCAGCUAUGAUUAAAGAUAAAAUGCCUACUUUGUGUCUGUGUAAGGAUUCUGGUAAGUAGGUUAAAGCAGACAUGAUAAAA